GGCUAGUUGUGGUAUUGCUGGAUCAAAGGGUGUUAUAAGAUAAGUUCAGAGCAGUGUUAGCUUACUGCUUUAAAAUUCUUUGUUUUGCUUUUCUAGAGAAGAAUAUUUUCACUUCUGUCUUUAAAAAGAUUUCUUUUCUGCUGGAAAGCAGUGAAGCUGCAGAAAAGGAAAACAUCAUAGCUAAAGAAACUACCACCACAAUGGAAAACCUUCCUAAUGAUGAUUUUAUUCUAGAAUGUCUCUGGAGAACCAGAAAAAUGGAAUUGAAAAGACAGGAGCUGGCCAUGCAAGCAGCCUGGGAAUGUAAAGCUCAGAAAUUUCUCACUGAAAUCAGAGAGAUACAUGCCAUGGAAAAGAAGGAAACUUCAAAAGAACAAAACAUGACUGAGAAUGAAAACAUAAUUUAUGAUGCUCCAACUCUAGCAUAUUUCCGGAGAAUCAGAGAAAUUGAAUUCGAAAAACAGAAACUGGUAAUAAAGACCAUCUUUGAAGAGAAAACACAGACAUUUCUCAAGGAAAUCAAAGAGAUAUGUGCUAUGGAAGUAAAUUAUGUUACAGAAAUGGAGAACUUGAAUAGGAAGGAAAACACAACCAAAAAGGAGAAGAUUAUUUAUCGUUCUUCCAUCCUGGCAUCUCUCUGGAAAAUCGGGUGCAUACAUAUACUACUAGUGGGAUUUCAGAAGAAUAUAAUUUACUUAGGGGAAAAAGUGGCAAUAUCCUGGUGAAGUUACAAAAAUAACAGUGUACCCCACCUAUGUCACUGUCAGCCCUUUAUAGGGAAUAUACCAAAUAGAGUGCAUAUGCAGAAUAGGCAAAAAGUGAGGUUAUGUUCAAAUGACAUUUCUAAUAAUAUUCUUUUGUUAUUCCAAAACCUUGAGAUGCUUGAAAGGUCUGACCAGUUGAGACUAUCUGAA
rnacentral:lncRNA from 1 species